UGGUAGAUGCACCCUGGUUAAGCCCUGGAGAUUAAUUACUCUGGGGCAUUUUUUA
rfam:Anabaena sp. CRKS33 357, whole genome shotgun sequence.